AGCGAACGCUGGCGGCAGGCCUAACACAUGCAAGUCGAACGAAGUCUUCGGACUUAGUGGCGGACGGGUGAGUAACACGUGGGAACGUGCCCUUUGGUACGGAAUAACUCAGGGAAACUUGAGCUAAUACCGUAUGUGCCCUUCGGGGGAAAGAUUUAUCGCCAUUGGAGCGGCCCGCGUCUGAUUAGCUAGUUGGUGAGGUAAAGGCUCACCAAGGCGACGAUCAGUAGCUGGCCUGAGAGGAUGAUCAGCCACACUGGGACUGAGACACGGCCCAAACUCCUACGGGAGGCAGCAGUGGGGAAUCUUGCGCAAUGGGCGAAAGCCUGACGCAGCCAUGCCGCGUGAAUGAUGAAGGUCUUAGGAUUGUAAAAUUCUUUCACCGGGGACGAUAAUGACGGUACCCGGAGAAGAAGCCCCGGCUAACUUCGUGCCAGCCGCCGCCGUAA
rnacentral:rRNA from 1 species